GAGGUUGCCUGUGUUCUUUUGAACACCAGCAGUCCGUGAGUCGUGAGCGGUCUGUGACAAGAAGAAAAGGUAGCGACAGAUGCUGAGCACGCUGCACUGUUGGAAGAAGAAAAGCGGUUGUAGGCGGAGGCACCACAGGCAGCAAAAGACACCAUAUGGUAGUCAUUUCAUGCUUACAUCUACUUUCGAUUGCGGGAGAGCCAGCAUUUUUCUACCAGUGUUUAUCACUUUUUCACAGAGCUUUACACACUUUUAUUCACAACAUUAUAUGUACAAGGGUCGUCAAAAGUUUCCAAGCCACAGUUUGCCCGAACACGUUGACUUCGUGCCCUGUGGCGUGUCAUGUAUCGGAUGUUAAGUGGCCCAAGGUUACUUGAAGAGGGUAAGGGACACUGAAGAAGGGUUAACCCUUCUUUAUGAUGCUUCCCGACCAGACAGGCUUCCGUCAAAACCUCGACUUCGGUAAGGGACACUGUUUAUCGCCAUCCACAGCUCGUGACGGCCAAAAUUACUCCAGGGGCCGCGCCACUUGCUUGAGAGUGAAUGUGUUCACGCAAGCUGUGGCCUGGAAACCUUUGACGACCCCUGUACAUAUAUGUAUAGUGUAGAGGAUGGGUGCACAUUUGGGUGAUUGAAAGGGCAUUUGUGUGUGUUAGUGCAUGAUCUGUUGUUUUGAGCAGCAAGGAAAGCCUCCUGCACAGAGAAAGUGAAGCUGCACAGUGCUGUCAACCAUGCUGAAACACCAUGUUGAUUAGCUGAAACGGUGAUUAGUUCCCCAGCACUUCUACCUUCCCAACUCUCCAAUACAUGUUUCACUGGGAGAAUAACAGUUGAUAGUCAGUGGUGUGUCCCAUACCUUUGUUGUGUCUCUUCUUUCACAAUUUAGCUGACAGUUAGCCAUAACCAGAUUAGUAUUUGGCUUUAAAGUGGCACAGCACAUCCUUGACACUUGGUACAAGACUGAACAGAAGAAAAGGGUAUCCAUGGGUAUAGAAACUAUGGCUUGCAUAGGGGACCUGUGAGCAGGUGCAGUGCCAUGAUUUUUUUGUUAUGGGUAAAGCUUAAUUCUCCAUUUUCAUUGGGGGUGCAAGAGGGUAACUCAAUCACUUGGCACUUCACGGUUGUAGGAGGGGUGAAAUUAGAGGCAAGAGGAAAUACUAGGGGUUGGACCCCAUCCUCUCUCCUUUUCUUGCCCUCAUUAACGCUUGUAAUGGUAUCUGGAUAGCGCAGCAAAACACGGACACAAGAAGAAACAAAGACAAAUACUUGUCUUCGUUUCUUCUUGUGUCCGUGUUUUGCUGUGCUAUCCAGAUACCAUUCCAUGAUGACCGACCAACAAGCCCAUAUCGCCACCCUCGUCAAUCUCAUUAGAGCCACCCUUGCCUGUGAGCAAUUUGCAGCUAUUUGCUUGGGAAGAAGCUUAAGACUGCAGAGCGGAUGGGAAGAAAAUAAUGAACUUAAGCCUAAGAUUAAGAGACACGAAGGAAGCAGUAUGCUUUCUUCAACAAAUGUGAGUAGCUGAAAUAGUAUUGAGAUUAAGGGAUGGAGUAGGGCAGGUCAUGUGCUGGAUAGAGCAGAUAACCAGCCCUCUCUAGAAGUAAUACAACUGCUAAUGAAAGAACACACACUCAAGGACAGUAGAGUAUCCCUCUGACAUCUUCGGCUGUGUAGUACAUGUGCAGGCAGAGGAAAGAAUAGGCUGACUUUCGGCAGAGGUAAUUGGAGAUCGCUGGGAGAGGGCUCCAUUCUGUAUUGGACUUGUGCGAGUUGAUGAUGAUGACUGUGACUUGCUCAGGCAAUAAUUUGUCAUUCUAACUUGACCUACAUGAUAUUACACCAGUUUCUGGCAAACUAGUAAUAAUGCUGUCAUGGCUACUUUAGGCAACCAGGACUUCAGGAGAUUUAGUGCCCCAAUGUUCUAACUAAGCAGUUAAAGGUGGUGUGAUGGUUGGCUUUAGACUUUUUCUUGACCACCUGAGAUCUCUUAAUAUGCACCUAUAAAUACACAUGUUUUUGCUUUGCUUCUUCUGUGAUAUUGGCCGUGGUUCCAUGAUGACCUAUGGACUUUUCAUGAUCUUGGGCUGUUGCCUCCUCUUGGUAACUAGGCUAGGGCAUUUAGCAAGGAGUACAGAUGGGACAAAGACUCCUUUGUUUAGGGUUUGGAAAAGCAGGUGAAGUGGAAAGAGAACAUUGCUUUAGGAUGAGCCGAACCAAUGAUGCUGAAAUGUGCAACGCCCACUUUGUGCAGGCCUUCAGGAGUACUGGUCAUUUUUCUGGCUCCUUGAAUAUGUCUGUGUGACCAGCCAGUUAACACAUAAUGCAAGCUGGUUGGGGACACAAUUAAUGUCACUUCGACUUGUCCUGUGUGUCGUCAUUGUGCUGUUUUUGCUUAAAAUUGUUGGUCAGAUCUGCAGUGAAGCAAGCUUUCCAAAGGUAGCCGUCAAGGACCUCCAUGAGGAAGGGACGUGCGGUGACUAAUAUUUAAUGAAAGAAGGCUCACAGACAGUUGAUGCAACUGCUGAAGUGCUUGUUGGAGUGAAUUAUGGCUUGGUACAGCAAGGUGCAAGUGUGCUGUGUUGAAGAUUUGCAUGUUUUGCUUAUGUGGCAAAGUUCUUGAUGUGGUAAAAAAGGCACUGCACAGCAGGGACCAUAUGUGCUCGUUUGUGAAGUAAAUGAAUAUAUGGGUCCAAACACCCACACA
rnacentral:lncRNA from 1 species